rnacentral:rRNA from 1 species
GGCUUAAUGAUUUUAAUUUUAAGUCAAUCUGCCCAAUGAUUUUAAAUUAAAUGGCUGCAGUAUAAUUGACUGUACAAAGGUAGCAUAAUCAAUUGUUUUUUAAUUAAAAACUGGAAUGAAAGAAUUAAUGAGAUAUAUACUGUCUCAUAUAUAUUUAAUUAACUUAAAUUUUUAGUAAAAAUGCUAAAAUAAAUUUAUGGGACGAUAAGACCCUAUAGAAUUUUAUAUUAAUAUAUAAAUUAAGUUAUUUUAAGUAUUAAUAUUUAAUUGGGAGGAUUAAUAAAUUUAUAAAACUUUAUUUUAAAUAAAAACUUUGAUUAAAGAGUUUAUUAUGAUUAUGUAUUAUGAAUUAUAAGAAUAAAUUACCUUAGGGAUAACAGCGUAAUAUCUUUUUAAAGAUCAAAUUAAUAAAGAUGAUUGCGACCUCGAUGUUGAAUUAAGAUAAAUUUUAAAUGCAGAAGUUUAAUAAUUAAGUCUGUUCGACUUUUAAAAUCUU